GCCGGAGCAAGCACUUUACACCCCUUUAAGGGGAGCCCGAAGGCACCGUGUCCUCAGGGUGCUGGUGUUCGCUCACCCUUGGGGCUUCCACCUGCACCCUGAGAGCCCACGCCCCACCAGCAGGCGGCUGUUCCCAAGGCCACCACCUGCUGGGACAUCCCAGGGCUCUGGCUUGAGGGCUGCUUUAUGAAAGUGUUUCAGUUUUUCUUUAUUUUCAAAUCUGUCCCCAAGAGGAAGGACCACCCUGUGGUGGUCUCCGCAGCACUGGUGAUGGGCUCAGUCAUGUUUCUUUCCUCAGAACAUUCCUUCCUUCUUCACUGGUCCCAGCCACGUGCUCAUUCCAUCCUUCUUUUUGUAGACUUUGGGCCCAUGUAUUUUAUGGGCAUUGAUACAUAUAUAAAUAUAUAGAUAUAAAUAUAUAAAUAUAUUUUUUUAAGUUUCCUACACCUGGAGGUUGCAUGGACGUACGCCGGCAUGUCUUUAUAUUGUAUACAGAUUUUGCACGCCAAACUCGGCAGCUUUGGGGAAGGAGAAGCAUUGCCUUUCUCUCCCCUCUCAUGAUGUUUGCAGAUGCAGAAAUUUUUUUCUGUAAAACAAAACAAAACCUUGAAGGAGAAGAGGGGGGCGUUUGAGUCUUACUGAACUUAUUCUUAAGAAAUUGUACUUUUUAUUGUAAGAAAAAUAAAAGGACUACUUCCACACUCGUCAUUAAGAAAAGUUUACCUAGCACCUUUGACAUACCGAUAGAGAGUCGAUUGUAUCCACACGCAAGCUCCACAUUCAGACCCUGCUGCCUGUCUGUCAAGCUGGCUGGGGGUGUUUUCUUUUGUUUUGUUGGUUUUCUCCUCUCUCUCCCCGCACAGGGCCAGGUGCACCCUGCCUGCUGUCACUGGCCUCUGGUCGAGAACCUGAGGUUCUGGUGAGUCCUGUCUCAGCACAACUGUGUCGAUGGGUUCAUUCCUUCUAGAAGACACGGGGCUGGGGUUCUGCACUGGGCAAUCCAGGCCUUUGUGAGCCCUAGGUCUAAAUGACACUUGGCACUGGAGGAAACUAUUUCUCCCUCUCAAGGAUCCAGGUGUGCUCUGCACCCGGCCUUGAUGGCCUCACCGGCCUUGAGUUGAUCAAAGUCUACUAUGGAAAGAGAAGAAUGCAGACAGGCCUUGUUCGGGGGUGUGCACUCCAGUGAGGAGGUACCGUUUCCCGAUCUGUAAGAAUGUUAAACAUGCUGUUUUCAUGUAUGCACAGGAGGCUGACCUCUGUCAGCAAGAGCUCACUACAGAAGUGUGGUCCAAGCCACCGGAGCGCUGCCACAUGAUGCCGUGUGUGCUCCACAGCCUUGACCGCCUUCACUCUGUAACAGCCUGUUUUCUCUUUGAUUGUCUGGACCUCCCCUCCUUGGCGCUUUCUCCUCCUGGCGGGGUUGGGGGUCAUGUUUGGUUUUCUCAUUCUUGUUUCGUUUUUUUUUUUGUGUGUGUGGUGGGUUUCACUGACCGGCGGUGCCCUCUGGCGGUCACCUCUUUCCACCUCCCGGGUCCAGUGUUUGUACCACAUCACACACUUGUCGCUCUCGUGGUGUAAAUAAAGACUGCGUUAAUUGCCCUCCCA
rnacentral:lncRNA from 1 species